CCAAGCUGUCAGGGACUUAUCCGCAGGCAUGUCGCAGGGGGUGCCAGCAUGAGCGUGGCACGGUGCUGCGAAAGAUUUGGCUUGGCAAAAAUUUGCAAUGCUACUCGAUCAUUUGGAACCCCCAGGGUGAGAUUUAGGGGGAUGCCUUGCUGGGUAGUGAGGGAGCAAUGAUUCGUCAAGGAGCGGCAUGGCCGUGGCAU
rnacentral:lncRNA from 1 species